rnacentral:snRNA from 1 species
GUAUUAACUUUGACAGCACGUCUACUAAAAUUGGAGCAAUACAGAUACCAUCAGAAUGAUUCCUGCAUGAGGAUGCCAUGCAAAUUGGCAAAGGGUUCUGUUUCUUU